rnacentral:rRNA from 1 species
GCUUGCUUCUUUGCUGACGAGUGGCGGACGGGUGAGUAAUGUCUGGGAAACUGCCUGAUGGAGGGGGAUAACUACUGGAAACGGUAGCUAAUACCGCAUAACGUCGCAAGACCAAAGAGGGGGACCUUCGGGCCUCUUGCCAUCGGAUGUGCCCAGAUGGGAUUAGCUAGUAGGUGGGGUAACGGCUCACCUAGGCGACGAUCCCUAGCUGGUCUGAGAGGAUGACCAGCCACACUGGAACUGAGACACGGUCCAGACUCCUACGGGAGGCAGCAGUGGGGAAUAUUGCACAAUGGGCGCAAGCCUGAUGCAGCCAUGCCGCGUGUAUGAAGAAGGCCUUCGGGUUGUAAAGUACUUUCAGCGGGGAGGAAGGGAGUAAAGUUAAUACCUUUGCUCAUUGACGUUACCCGCAGAAGAAGCACCGGCUAACUCCGUGCCAGCAGCCGCGGUAAUACGGAGGGUGCAAGCGUUAAUCGGAAUUACUGGGCGUAAAGCGCACGCAGGCGGUUUGUUAAGUCAGAUGUGAAAUCCCCGGGCUCAACCUGGGAACUGCAUCUGAUACUGGCAAGCUUGAGUCUCGUAGAGGGNGGUAGAAUUCCAGGUGUAGCGGUGAAAUGCGUAGAGAUCUGGAGGAAUACCGGUGGCGAAGGCGGCCCCCUGGACGAGACUGACGCUC